CCCAAAGCCAGCUGCAUCACUAGCCUUAAGAGCUCAUUAGGCUCCGGCACCGUGUGACCUGCCAGGAGGAGACACAGAAUGGGCGCACGCAGAGAGCCAGAAUGGAGCGGCCGCCACACAAGAUGGCCCAGGGAUCCUGCCAGCUGGUUGCACGCCCCAGGCUCAGCUGCCCCCUCCAAGGAACUCGUGUCCCAUUUGGGAAAGAGAGAGAGAGAGCACAGAUUGAAGGCUGGGGGAGAUUUGUCCACACCCACUCCACCUCCUGAUCCGGAGUUCUUUCUGCGAUCAGCUUCCCUCUCCACCUGCAGAAGCCUUGCAUCUGCCGGGGGCCUGCUUGUUUGCCUGGAGACGCUGCCUCGUUGUCAUCGUUUUAUUUUAAAGGGAAGUGCCCCUCCCCCUUGGUGGCCCAGGGAUGGGCGGGGUUCAGAGGGCUUGGAUUCGGCCAUACAUUGCUGCGUUGUGGAAUGUGCCACAAAUCCACCAGAACAGAACAGGCUGGGAAGGUCACAGGAGAGAGGCUGUGUCUUCCGACACGCUCUCUUCGGGAUAGCAUUUGCUGAGCAAACCUGGUCUUCCUUGGCUCCAGUAAGUGACUCAGAGAACGAGGACAUGGUUCCUCGCCCGCAUGGACCAGGACAGGCUGUGUCUCCCUUGGGCCUAGAACCAUCCAGGUAUCGGGAACGCCCUGCCAUCUCCCCGUCGGUGGCAGUGUCAGGCACAAAGAGGAGACGGUAGCCUCACUGGGUGAAUCAGAGGGGUCUUAGGAGGGAAAUCGGCUGUGUGGCCUCCCACUCUGUGCUGGGGAAGGGUCCGGGGGGAAACGGGGACCCCCCCCACCCUCGGGAGGGGUCUGCUGAAUCCUGAAAUUGAAUGAAGGGCUCACCACCCCUUCUUUUACUCCUCAUGUUUCAUCCACCACCAGGUCCUGCUGAGGGUACCUGGGUGCGUCCCCGCUGCCACCACCCUGGUCCAGGCCCCUGCUGCCUCCUGCCUGGAAAGUUCAGCUGCAUCCAAGGUGAUCUUUCUAAAAUCCAAGAACUAGCUGGACACAGUACAGCAUGAGCGAGGGGUGAAAUGACAGAAGCUUCUGACACAAGAACAGUCAGGGAAGAAAACUCCAGUGUUGCCUUGACAUUGUGCCCUCUGGCCGGCAUGCCCACAUGGCCCAUCUCAUUGACCCCUUGCAGCCUCCCAGUACGGUGGGUCUGAUUAUCCCCAUCCUGCAGCAGAGGCUCGUGCUCUGAACCCGCCAACGGCUGUGCUCUGAAUCCUUCAUUGCCUUUCAGUUCACUCAGAAUUCGACAGAGAGCAUCUCACGUCCCUACAAGCCCCAGCUGCGGGCACCAACGGCACAAACUAGACAGCCUUGCUGUCUUCUGCCAACGAGCAUCUUCAGUCUCCUCACCUUCGUGGAGAAAGCAAACCCCGAGACCCAGGUGCUUUUGGUGAGGCUGCCUGGAACAAUAACAGCCAAGCUUUGGUUGUCCGCAGUAAAUGGGGAAGGGGCAGUCCCCGUUGUUGCCAUCAGUGUUUCUUGAGCACCUAUUAUGUGCACAGCCCUAUGCUGGGAGGAUGGAGGCCAUAAAAGGCACCCAGGCUAUGAGGCCAUGUCGGGAUUUGAGCAGUAUAAUACAAUCAUCUAUACCACACGCUGCGAGCCCACCGUGCGCCAGCCCUGCAUGCACGUCUCUCUGACCCUCACGACAGCCCUGCAGGGUAAGUGCCCUUGUGUUAUUCUCGUGCUGGAGCCGGGGGAAUUAAGGUCCAAAGGACAGUGGUAACUAGCGAAGGCCACACAGCUGACGAUGGUAACGCCUGGCCUCUGUGUGUCUAGUGCAGCGGGUCCCAAAGUCUGGUCCCUGGUCCCCCAGCAUCAGCGUCACCUGGGAACUCGUUAGAAAUGCAGGAUCUUGGGCCCCAGACCCACUGAAUCAGGACCUCUGGGGAGGAGCCCACGAUCUGUAUUUGAACAAGUCCUCCAGGCUUCAAAUUUGGGAACCACCAAGUCAUGAGGUAUUUUAUGUAUAAAUGGUUUGAAGGCUGUAAAGCACUUAUUUGUCAGCAGGGUUUUUUUUUGGUGCCUGAAAGGCUUUUCAUGU